GAUUUUCGUUUGCCUAAAUCAAUUAAACAAAUUUUAAGUAAGAAACUAGUAUAUUUCACCAGAACCUAAAAACAAGAACAAGACGAAGAAGUUAGAAAUAAAGGCUCAAGAAAGAUUCAAAUAAUAAUAAUCAGAAGUCAAAAGAAAAAAAAUCAACUAAAGACAACAAUCUAUGGAAUGCAUAUUGAAAUAACAAAAUGAAAAGUAACAAGAAAGAAAUAACCAAAUUCGAAUUGCAUUGCUACAAUAUAAUGUGUAAAAGAAGGUAUUUAUAACUUAUAAGCCUAUCUAGUAAGUAUACACCAGUUUCCAUUUCCAAUGUCAAAACCCUAAUAGAAAGACUUAACUCGUAGAACUUCAAUACUUCAUUGGAAGUGUAUUUAGAAGAGCAAUAAUUCAUCAAACUGAACAAACAGAAGCAUACAUAUUUGCAACAAUAUCCAACAUAUAAAACUGUAUCAAGCAUCAGUUAGGAGAUUUUAACUUACAACAAAU
rnacentral:misc_RNA from 1 species